rnacentral:rRNA from 1 species
CAGGGAUUACCUCAGUAACGGCGAGUGAAGCGGUAACAGCUCAAAUUUGAAAUCUGGCUCUUUCAGGGUCCGAGUUGUAAUUUGUAGAAGAUGCUUCAGGUGUGGCUCCGGUCUAAGUUCCUUGGAACAGGACGUCAUAGAGGGUGAGAAUCCCGUAUGUGACUGGUUGCCUUCGCCUAUGUGAAGCUCUUUCGACGAGUCGAGUUGUUUGGGAAUGCAGCUCUAAAUGGGAGGUAAAUUUCUUCUAAAGCUAAAUAUUGGCCAGAGACCGAUAGCGCACAAGUAGAGUGAUCGAAAGAUGAAAAGCACUUUGGAAAGAGAGUUAAACAGUACGUGAAAUUGUUGAAAGGGAAGCGCUUGCAACCAGACUUGCCUGCCGUCGAUCAUCCUCCGUUCUCGGGGGUGCACUCGGCGGUGGUCAGGCCAGCAUCGGUUUCGGUGGUGGGAUAAAGACCUUGGGAAUGUAGCUCCUCUCGGGGAGUGUUAUAGCCCUCGGUGCAAUGCCGCCUACCGGGACCGAGGACCGCGCUUCGGCUAGGAUGCUGGCGUAAUGGUUGUAAGCGACCCGUCUUGAAACACGGACCAAGGAGUCUAACAUCUAUGCGAGUGUUUGGGUGUUAAACCCAUACGCGUAAUGAAAGUGAACGGAGGUGAGAACCCUUUAGGGUGCAUCAUCGACCGAUCCUGAUGUCUUCGGAUGGAUUUGAGUAAGAGCAUAGCUGUUGGGACCCGAAAGAUGGUGAACUAUGCCUAAAUAGGGUGAAGCCAGAGGAAACUCUGGUGGAGGCUCGCAGCGGUUCUGACGUGCAAAUCGAUCGUCAAAUUUGGGUAUAGGGGCGAAAGACUAAU